GAGUUAUCAGGAGCCUGCACCUGCUUCCAGCUGAGGAGAGGAAAUGCUUCUGGAGGUGACAGAGGAUGGUUGGUCGUGUCUCAGGAGUCCAGGAAAGAUCAGGCUCUGUUGGACUCCGCAUGGUAGAGGCUGAUACUGCGAGCUUGUGGUCAGGGUGGUUGGAAAAAUCAUUGCCAUCAGCUGGAGAGGACUCAGAAUUAAAGUCAUCACCCUGAUGAUUUGUAGAACUGAGCUGCUGGUGUAACUGUGAGCUGCCCCAGGCCACAGAGGACAUGUUCCCCAGCCCAUAGGAGCCCUCUUAGGAGUUGAAGCAUUUCUGCAACCCAAAUGUCUCCUCUGAUCUGGCUCCAGCAGGGACACAGAAGCGAGUGCAGGGAGCAGAAUGGGACCCGGUGUGAGGAGGGGGAGCUGCUGGCCUCCGUGGGCUGAAAACAUCUGAUUUAAAGGUAUGUCUUCCCAUGGGAUAAUAAUCUCUCCGAGCAAGAUCUUCCUGAGCGAAGCCGGGAGGAGCAGCCAGAUGCCAGCGUGGAUGUAUGAUGAGCUGUGGACUUCCCCCUACCAUCUGAGCUCUGUUACCAGCCCGCAGCGCUCCUCCUGCCGACACCGAGCGCCUGUUCUUGCCGUCGCCCCCACACCCGGCGUCGUUAUGGUGCUGCCGUAUGGAGGGCUCAGCCGGCGACGUCUCGCUCACCGGGGCAUGGCCAGGGACCUUCUCCAUCCCUCCUGCAGCAGGGACCCCCGGCCAUGCAGGACAGUUGCCCCUGUGCCCGUGGGUUUGCAGCUUCGUGGUGAGCGUUUGCGACCUGAACUUUGCAGCGUUGUGCUGAUUCACGACGGCUUGUCACCGAAACUGCCUGAAACUGACAGAAAAAGGGACGCUGACUCAUGUGUUUGCCUUCCCCAAGCGGGGAGAAAUGUGAAAGGUGAACAAAGUAUUUAACGGGUGAUAAUUACAUUCGGUGCUGAAAAAUUCAAUCCAUAUUAAUAAGCCGGUGUGUUAUUACUAAUAGAGGCCUUUUACAAUUUAAAAAAAAAAAUAAAUAGUAUUUAAGGUUUUUAACCUUGACAGUGACCUUUUAACAACAAGUGUAAGGAAACCCCUAAUUUUGUCCCACUCACACUUAUAAAGCUGUGUUAAGGAGAAUCUCCAGCUGCUGCCUUCCCUGUAUCCCCACGGGAUGCUGGGGGACGAUUCCCCGGCAGCAUUCCCUGAUGUGGCGGGAUGAAACCCGGCGUGGGGUGGGGUGGGAUGUGGCACGAGGAGCCAGAGAGCCAGCCUCUGGGUGGGAGAGAUCUCGGUGUUAUCAUUCAGGGCAGAGGGAGGGGGAGAGAGGAGUCGGAGAGGGUCCACCUUAAUGCCGGAUGAAAAAGCAAAUUGCUGGCAGGAGAGCAGAGAUGCUGCUCCGUUACUAUGGUUACCCCCAGAGACAACUGAGCAUCCCUGGGUAUCCUGCGGUACCCAAGCUGCUCCCGGCCAGCCGGAAUGGUGCUGGGAGAAUUCGGGUGGGCAAGGGAACAAAUAUGGAGGGGUUUGUAGGGUCUGAGCUUCUUGAAGCAGCCAAGAGAGAGGAUGGGUCCAGGCUGGGUGGAGGAGCAGCGUUUCCAGAGGGGCCAGGGCAAAGUUCCUGCCUCCACCCCUCUGAGAUGUGCAUCACCUUAGCAUGGCUGGGGAGGAUUUGUCAGGAGCCAGAUCAGUGUGGUGCCUUCCCUGCAGGAUGUCCUGGUUCUGGUCAGUGGGACACAGCAAGUCCUGCCCUGGGACAUGCAGCCAGGACGGGCAGCACAAGGUGCAAACCCAUGGCAUCUCCCUCCUGGUGGGAAUCCAGAGCUCCCAGCCCCUCUGCCUGCCCUCUGCCUGAUCAAGAUGUAUUGAGACCCUCAGAUUUUGGUGUGUUUGAGCCAAACCCAUCCAAGCCAAAAGACACCCUGCUUUUGGGGAGGCCAGAAAACUCUGCAGGGCACUGAGAGAUGCCCCCAUCCCCUGAAGCCAAAGAGAAAGAGGCAGGAAGGCAGUCAGCAAGGGUGUAAUGAUGAGUUUAAAGAUGGUAUUAGCAUUUAAGGACAUCUUGAGUCUUAAAAGUGGAGGUUGCCAGCUCAAAACCAGCCCCAACCUCAGCCCAUCGGUAGCAAUCCUACUGAAAACACCCUGCAAGGUGUAAGCAAGGUCCUUCCCCAGAAAAGCAGUCACUGCCUACCCAUCCCCACUGCUCCCAGAACCACCACCCUUCAGUUUAACCCCA